UACGGAGGGUGCAAGCGUUGUCCGGAAUUAUUGGGCGUAAAGAGCUCGUAGGCGGUUUGUCGCGUCUGCCGUGAAAGUCCGGGGCUCAACUCCGGAUCUGCGGUGGGUACGGGCAGACUAGAGUGAUGUAGGGGAGACUGGAAUUCCUGGUGUAGCGGUGAAAUGCGCAGAUAUCAGGAGGAACACCGAUGGCGAAGGCAGGUCUCUGGGCAUUAACUGACGCUGAGGAGCGAAAGCGUGGGGAGCGAACAGG
rnacentral:rRNA from 1 species